GACGUAGGGGGCAAGCGUUAAUCGGAAUACUGGGCGUAAAGCGUGCGCAGGCGGUGAUGUAAGACAGGUGUGAAAUCCCCGGGCUUAACCUGGGAACUGCAUCCGAGUACUGGAUGGCUUGAAGUCCGGGAGAGGGAUGCAGAAUUCCAGGUGUAGCGGUGAAAUGCGUAGAUAUCUGGAGGAAUACCGGGUGGCGAAGGCGGCAUCCUGGGCUAACACUGACGCUCAUGGCACGAAAGCGUGGGGAGCAAACAGG
rnacentral:rRNA from 1 species